AGGAUUUAAAGAGUUUCCCCAACCAGUGUAAAAUAGAAUAAUGCCAAGGGCAUUAUUCUAUUUUACACUGGUUGGAGAAACUCUUUAAAUCCU